AUACGUAGGGAGCGAGCGUUGUCCGGAAUUACUGGGUGUAAAGGGCGUGUAGGCGGAGAUGCAAGUCAGGAGUGAAAUCUAGGGGCUCAACCCCUAAACUGCUUUUGAAACUGUAUCCCUUGAGUAUCGGAGAGGCAGGCGGAAUUCCUAGUGUAGCGGUGAAAUGCGUAGAUAUUAGGAUGAACACCAGUGGCGAAGGCGGCCUGCUGGACGACAACUGACGCUGAGGCGCGAAAGCGUGGGGAGCAAACAAGAUUAGAUACCCUGGUAGUCCACGCUGUAAACUAUGAAUACUAGGUGUGGGGGGACUGACCCCCUCCGUGCCGCAGUUAACACAAUAAGUAUUCCACCUGGGGAGUACGAUCGCAAGAUUGAAACUCAAAAGAAUUGGCGGGA
rnacentral:rRNA from 1 species